rnacentral:rRNA from 1 species
UUGUCCGGAUUUACUGGGUGUAAAGGGUGCGUAGGCGGCUUUGCAAGUCAGAUGUGAAAUCUAUGGGCUCAACCCAUAAACUGCAUUUGAAACUGUAGAGCUUGAGUGAAGUAGAGGCAGGCGGAAUUCCCCGUGUAGCGGUGAAAUGCGUAGAGAUGGGGAGGAACACCAGUGGCGAAGGCGGCCUGCUGGGCUUUAACUGACGCUGAGGCACGAAAGCGUGGGUAGCAAACAGGAUUAGAUACCCUGGUAGUCCACGCUGUAAACGAUGAUUACUAGGUGUGGGGGGUCUGACCCCUUCCGUGCCGGAGUUAACACAAUAAGUAAUCCACCUGGGGAGUACGGCCGCAAGGUUGAAACUCAA